rnacentral:rRNA from 1 species
UACGUAGGGUGCAAGCGUUGUCCGGAAUUAUUGGGCGUAAAGGGCUCGUAGGCGGUCUGUCACGUCGGGAGUGAAAACUCAGGGCUUAACCCUGAGCCUGCUUCCGAUACGGGCAGACUAGAGGUAUGCAGGGGAGAACGGAAUUCCUGGUGUAGCGGUGAAAUGCGCAGAUAUCAGGAGGAACACCGGUGGCGGAGGCGGUUCUCUGGGCAUUACCUGACGCUGAGGAGCGAAAGCGUGGGGAGCGAACAGG